GUCGUUGUAGUAUAGUGGUGAGUAUCCCUGCCUGUUACACGGGAGACCCGGGUUUGAUCCCGUCAACGUUA
rnacentral:tRNA from 1 species